AUUGAACGCUGGCGGCAGGCCUAACACAUGCAAGUCGAGCGGAUGAAGGGAGCUUGCUCCUGGAUUCAGCGGCGGACGGGGGAGUAAUGCGUAGGACUCUGGCUGGUAGUGGGGUAUAACUUCCGAAAAGGGGGGAUAAUACGGCAUACGUCCUGAGGCGGAAAGUGGGGGAUCUUCGGACCGCGCGCUAUAGUGUGACCGUGGGUCGGAUUAGCUAGGUGGUGGGGUAAGGGCCUACCAAGGCGACGUUCCGUAACUGGUCUGGGAGGAGGAUCAGUGACACUGGAACUGAGACACGGUCCAGACUCCUACGGGAGGCAGCAGUGGGGAAUAUUGGACCAAGGGCGAAAGCCUGAUGCAGCCAUGCCGCGUGGUUGAAGAAGGUCUUCGGAUUGUAAAGCACUUUUAGUUGGGGUGAAGGGCAGUAAGUUCAUAUCUUGCUGUGUUGACGUUACCAAGAGAAGAAGCACCGGCUAACUACGUG
rnacentral:rRNA from 1 species